rnacentral:rRNA from 1 species
UACGUAGGGGGCAAGCGUUGUCCGGAAUCAUUGGGCGUAAAGCGCGUGUAGGCGGACCCGUAAGUACCUUGUGAAAUCCCACGGCUCAACCGUGGAACGGCUGGGUAUACUGCGGGUCUUGAGCGGCCUAGGGGCAGACGGAACAAGUGGUGGAGCGGUGAAAUGCGUAGAUAUCACUUGGAACGCCGACGGUGAAAACAGUCUGCUGGGGCCUGCUGACGCUGAGACACGAAAGCCAGGGGAGCGAACGGG